GCCCGCCUAGCUCAAUCGGAUAGAGCGUCAGACUCUUAUGAGCGGGUAUCUGAAGGCUGCGAGUUCGACCCUCGCGGUGGGCU